CAGGGAUGACUGUCGAUUAGAGUCACAGGGAUGACUGUCGAUUAGAGUCACAGGGAUGACUGUCGAUUAGAGUCACAGGGAUGACUGUCGAUUAGAGUCACAGGGAUGACUGUCGAUUAGAGUCACAGGGAUGACUGUCGAUUAGAGUCACAGGGAUGACUAUCAUUGAACACUUGUAGUCACAGGGAUGACUAUCAUUGAACACUUGUAGUCACAGGAAUGACUUAGUUACUGUGUACAUGAAUUGUACGGGGAGAACUUGCAGCAGUAGUAAAUCACUUAUUUUCGUUUGUGUAAUCUUUCAAUGUCGUUAUAGAAUUUGUGUUUAGAAUAAAAAUUAUUUGAUGACUUUUAAAUUUUCCGAUAAGUCGUAAAGUGUAGUCAGGAGUGAUCGAGCGGAACAAGUGUUCUCGUGGAUGUUUUUGAUUGUAGGUUAACCAUCACACGAGGACGUGUGACGUGUCAGAAUGGCCGUGUCGUGGUUAACGACUUUUAGUAAUAUUAAGAAGUUGUUUUGACUAUUAUUUUAAAUGAUGAAAUGUUGUUUUGAUAAAUGUCACAAAAUGUAGGGUACACUACGUGGCGCCACAGUAUAAAAUGGCGGUACGUGGACAGAGUCGUGGCAUUCCGUGUCAGACAGUCAUUCAGUCCGUAUCAGACGGUCGGUCCGUCUCAGUCAGUGAGUCUUUGUCAGUCAGUCUGUCGGUAUGUGGAACGAAACUGUCGGUUUAUCCUGUCAUUGUGAAAGUUGUGUGUGUUGAGUUUCAAUAACUAUUAUUCAAAAGGUUUUAUUGACUAAACUGAGUUCAAUCGAAUACGAGUGAUGACGGAACCUACCGCUCAGCCAUCCCUGGUGGCGCUGCCGCCGACAUAUAUAUAUAUUAUACACAAUAUCAAAAUAUCAAUACGGUUAUGAAUAUAUAUACAAAUUAAUAAUACCCAUCAACUGGGAAAGUGUCUAUGAAAUUUAAUUUAACUAUAAUAGACAAAACAAGCCAAAAGACAAACAAAAUAACAAAAUAAAAGGAAAUCAAAGUAGCAAAAUAGAAUACCUAUAUAAAAUAUACGUAGCAAUUAGGUAGUAUAAUCUUAUUAGAAAAUGAAAACAUUAAAUAGUAAAUACAAAGCAAAAGAAAAAGAAAAAAAGAAAACAAAAUAAAUAAAUAAAAGAAACUAAAAUUAAAGAAAUACAAAUCAGAAGCAUGAGUAGCAGUGAAAAGAUUACAGUAUACUUAAAUUCAUCUCGACGUUUUCUUUAUUAAGCUUCGCUUUAAACUUAAUACGUGUAAUUUAGCUGUAUAGACGAAGAUACCUUUGCCACUUGAAAGUUGACAGUUAAAAAAUUUUCAAUAUCAUGCACUGUCACUGUCACUCAAAUAUUUAAAUAUAAAAUUAAAUGUACCUACCGACAAAAGGCUAGGUACUUAUAAGCUAAAAAACAGGUAGUUUGAAAUUAAUACUACAUUAUUAAUAUUAUAAAUUAUAAACAAAAUUAACGAUAAAAUGUAAAAAAAUGAUAAUUAAAAAGUUUAUAAGGAAAGUUAAUUUCAUUUUGUCACCUGUUAAUCCUGUUAUACACAAGAAAGGAAACAAACAAGAAGCAAGAUUAUCACUAUCACUUUCUAGCAGCAGCGCGCUUUGCCUUUACCACAGCCGGUUUUGUAACAGCACGCUUAUGAGCAUCAACCUCAGGGACUGCCUCCGAUGUGUUCUUUUGAAGAUGAUUAAGAUCUCGAUGUGUAACGACGCGAUGUUUGAUGCCAUCCGCUCCCAAAAUGUAGACACAGCCAUCCUUGGUCCAGACCUUCUUCAUGCCGAAUCUACUCCGUGCAGCCAUUAAAAUGUCGUGCCGCGCUUUCGUCAGAAACUCCGAAAUAGUAAAGCCGGUACCCUUUAGUUUUAUUUUAGAAAACCAAACUUGACUGCGCAUUUCAUACGUUUGGAAUUUUAUCAGUAUGGGACGAGAUCCUUCGGAUGUUGACAAUCUAUUCAUACGGUGACAUCUUCUAAUAUCAGUUGAGGAGAACUCGGCCAAAGCAAGAUGACUGCCUAUGAAAUUAGACAAUACCUGUUCAAUUUGCUCACCCUUAGUCUCAGCUACUCCGUGAAUGAUCAACAUUUUUCUACGGCUGCGAGUCUCUGUAUUAUCUUGCAUGCGCGCGAGCAUCUCCACCUGCUGUUGCAAGUUAUUAAGUGCCUCAGUAAUGAAUGCCCGAAAUGACGAAAAUUCCAAUGCCAAACUUGAUGAUGUGGUUGAUGGUUCUGGAGACUUGUUGAGCUGGGCUUCGAACUUCGCCAUACGUGCAUUAAACAGCUCUGACAUCUCAGCCAGUGAAGAUUCAAGUGGAUUCAUAGUAACAGAGCAGUGAAGUGUGUAGAAGUAAUUAAUUGUAAGGAUAACACUUUUCCAGCUGGUAGGUACAAUCAGUUGUUAGAAUAAAUCAUAUAAAUAAUGGUGCCGUAAUGUUUUCUUAUUUUACACAAUUUCCACAAAAACACAGUAUUUUCGUUUCAACACACAACUACAACUUUGCUUAAAUUUCUAAUUAAGAAUCCAGUGCAACUACAAUUCUUCCCAUGAAUUUGCAAUAAAUCAAUUUGAAUUAAAAUGAAUCAAUGUUUUUUUCUCUUAUAAGUAAAAAGGAGCGAUUUAGUCAUCAUUCCUUCGCAUUUAAAGCUAUUGCCUAAAGCCUAAUGGUAGUAGCAGAUCUUGAGGAUGUUAAUCUACACGAAACAUAUGGCUUUAAGAAUGAUGAGAUGUAUAGUUCGUCUCUUUCGAUCACAUUGAAAUCUGAAUGCCAACGAAAAAGACAAAGGACUACACAAUCACAUGUAUACGAAUAAAACCAUAGAGAUUUUAAUUUUAGUAUUAUAUAAGAACAAGAAAUAUUGUGGAGUUCGUGUUCAAUACUCGAAAACAUUACCUUAAUCCACAAUGUGUUUCUGGAAAUCAUUUUCAUUCAUCAACAUUCCUCUGUGAUGAUCCUACACUAUUAUGACAUAUCUCUCUUUAUAUGUUUUUUACGGUAGACAGCGACCUAGCUAUGCCCCUCGCAUCGUCGAUGACUGUGGGCGACAAUGAAGACUUACCAUCAAUUGGGCCGCCGGCUCAACUUUGUUUGCAAUAAAAACCCAUAUAAAGUUUUUUUGGGUCCAAUUUUUUUUUAAAGUCUGUAAUUUGAAUAUUCAAACUAGAAACACAAUCCUAAAGUUUACAUACCGUGACGCCGAGGCACCGUUCUAGACCGUUCUCCUACGCAUGAAAAGCCAACGACGCAAUGUUACAAAACACUGUGACACGAGGAGGGAAAAGCUAAUUAAUCAAAAAAAAAAUCCAACUGUCGGUAUGAAAAAUUAAACAGCGUACACACAGCGGAACGAAGCAGUCGACUUGCAAAUGGGUUCGCUCACAUGUGUACAGGACACACGUAAAUGACACCACUGUAUUUCAGGCGAUAAAUAAUACUGAAAAUCCGUUUAAUAUGUACACGUGUUUUUAUUUUUACUUUUGCGUUCCGAACACUUUAGUCGACAAGUACUUUAUUUUUAUUGCUUAGAUGGGUGGACGAGCUCACAGCUCACCUUGUGUUAAGUGGUUACUGGAGCCAAUAGACAUCUACAACGUAAAUGCGCCACCCACCUUGAGAUAUAAGUUUUAAAGGUCUCAGUAUAGUUACAACGGCUACCCCACCCUUCAAACCGAAACGCAUUACUGCUUCACGGGAGAAAGGGGCGGAGUGGUGGUACCUACCCGCGCGGAUAUUCUAUCUAUAGUAGAUUCAUUUAUUGUAACAUUCUGUCUUAAUUUUGUUUGAUAUAUUUAGAGUUAUUAUUUUCUCACAACUACUUUUUAAAUAUGUCUGUUUGGAAUUAAUCAUUUUUCAGUCCAGUGUAGCACUCGUCAAUAAUAUAUAGUGAUAAAAUGUUAAUUAUAUAGUGACAUUAUAAUGUUAUUAUAUAUUUUAUGAUCCGCAAAAAGGCUCUUUUUGGAUUUUAGUACGAAAAUAAUAGCUGUUAUUGUAAAUGAAGUCCGCUCCGAUGGCGGGUGAUGUGAUGAUAGUAAAAAGAUGACGGAAUCGUUUCUAAUAAUUCCUCAGAAACUGCUACUACAGCUACGGCUGCUUCAAAUAAAACAAAAUAGUUUAGAUUAGUUUAGUUAAAACAAAUUAGUUCAGUAGCUUUGUACCCAAGUCAGGCUCUCAGCAAUCUGUUACUAGAGGAUCCUCAGCUACUUCAAUCACAUUGCCCGCCGACAGUCAAAUAACUUGGACAAAGUGAUUGUGACGGGCAAAGUAGAAGAAAGGAGACACCGCGGCCGAUCACCUAGCCGCUCAAAUAACCGCCCUAACUGGGCUGCCAGUAGUAACCGCCAUUCGAGAAUCUGAGGACCGGACGAGGUGGAAACAGCUCACGAGACAGGCCACGGUCAAGUUUCAGGGACACGACCUUCAGUAAUGAAGAAAACGACGAAGAAGAAAAAGAAUGUAUGUUAUAUUUACUGUGGUAAUCUUCCAUCUAGACAAUGUCAAAUUUUAAUAUAGUCGUUUAGAACAUCCAACAACAUAUUAAAGUUACAGAUACAAUAUAAAUGAAGGUAUGGAAGGGUUUGACGUCUGUUUCGUGUUUUACAUAAAAAUCUCAAGAGGAUUUCACCCCCAUUUGAGUGUCGCGUUUGACUCGGGUAAUAUAUCUGAUUUUUACGUACAUAAAUAUGUGGGAUUUGGUUAUACUAAACGAACAUUGUUAUCAUAACUUUUAAUGGGCUUCAUAAUUCAUAUUUCGAAGUUAAACUUAUGAUCUGAAUGAGAAAUAGGCGCGUAUACUUCGCAAUUUACUUUAAAUCGAAUGAUUAUUAAAUCUAUUCAAAGUAGAAUCCAGUUUGAAUUAAUUUUAAAUAGUAGUGCAUUUAUAAUACUAACUGAUCACUCCAUUUUAUUCUUGACUUUUAUUCUACAAUAUAAUAUGUAAAACCUAUGAAUUUUGAACAAAAAAUCAGAGUUUCACUUAAAUCACUUAUUUAAAAAAAAAAAAAUUAUUUUACAGAGUUUACAUUUACAUUCAUUUUACAAAAAUUGAAAACAUAAAUUAUUUUAAACGCAAUAUAAUCAUAAGAAAAUAAUGUUUUUUUUUUCUUUAAAAAAAAUUUGUACUUUCUAAACCCGAAGUCAUGAAUAACGAAUUCGAAACAUUAAGCUGUAAAUUACACUCGGUCGCAAUGGUUCUAGACAAAUCUGAACUUUGUUUCUAAGAUGCAAAAUUCGAAUUUGGUUUGAGUCACUCCCAUCAAUUAGGCCUGCCACAAAUCACGGCUCGCAUGUUGAGUGCUUGCUUUAUUUUCAAGUAAUUAUAGCCUUCCACCUCAUAUGUGGGUAAUUGAUAUAAUCUUUGAAUAAAUAAUUCCGAUCAUGACAAAACAUGUUUAAUACGAAAAUGCACUCGAAGGAUUGAAAAUUAAUAUAAUAUUUUAAUAUUUGAACAUCUUAUACAAAAUUGAAGUUUUAUAUUCGCUUAGGUGGUUAUUACUAGGUAUUGAAACAAUUUUAUGAAAUUGUUCACUCACAAAGCAGUCGACAUAGCCGCGCCGAUUGGCGAUCUUCGGCAAAUUUUACGAUAUAAAAAGGCAAAACAAUUUCUAAAACUAAAAACAGUGUUUUAGCAUAGCUGCACUCUAGAUAAAAUAAAAUGAGAAUAUUAAAACCCUAUAAUUAGAGUUUUAAAAGAAUCCAUAAAUAUGAAUGCCAUUUGUUUUUCGAUAUUGAUGAAGUCGCGUGCGCACUUUUACGUAAAUUAAUUCACGUCAUCUCGAACCCUCAAUCUAAAAAGGAGUGACUAUUUCAUUUAUAAAUGAUUUAUUUUUACUGACUCAGUGCAGUAGUUACUGCCCUGGACUCUUACGCCAAGGGUCGCGAGUUCGGUUCCACCACGGGCAAACAUUCGUGUGAUUAACAGGUUUUUUUUUACUCUUUGUCUGGGUGUUUAUUUUCUUUUUAUGUAUACAUUUAAACGUCUGUAUAUAAGUAUGUACUCGUAUGUUAGUCUGGUACCCAUUAUAAAAGGAAUCCUAAUACGGGGCCAGAUGAUCGUGGAUUAUUUGUUUCCAGUUAUUUAUUUAUUAUUAUUUUCACUAAUUACUUCCCAUCAAAAUUGAGAUUUUUAAACUACUUAAAGUAAAAAAAAAAAAAAGUGUGUGUGUCCGCUCCGACGCACGACUGGAGUUUACUGGAUAUAAAAAAUUAAACGAAACAAUACGAGAAAUAGUUCUAUAUUACGACAACACGAUACACUACAGAUUAUUAACAAAUUAACGAGACACAAAACAAACGACUAACAAAUAUAUGAAAAUACAAUAAUGAGAGAAACGCGCGAUCAGUACGAGGCUUUGUGGCGGACUGCCGGCGCAGCAGCCCGGCGUCACCUGCGAUAACGCGGCCGCGCGUUGGCUCCUGAUUGGCGCGCGCACGCAUCACGCAAUCAGGAGCCAAUCAGGCGCAUAACGCAUUUCGUGUGACAUGCUAGUACGAUUUUGGUCCCCAUAAUUUUCAUACCCCGGGCCUAUAUAUGUAAAUCGAUUCUAAAGGAGUAAACUCCAAAAAACCUUCUACCAAAAAGCUAUGAUUAGUUUAGUUAAAAAAAUCAGACUUCGAACAGUACAUGAAUACGAAAUAUCAAAGAAGGCACAACACUACAUAAUAUUACGUCAAACAAAAUUCAUUACACGCUCACAGAAUUAUCGAACCGCGCAACCGAGUAACGAAGUUAAAGUGACGCUAAAUGAGCCAGAAACACAAUGUUACCGAUCUUGUUAUCUCGAAAGCAAUAGUAAGGUGCAGUUAACUUUACUAGUUAGAAGGAAUCGCUGUUGGGUACUCGUUAGUGUUGGAGGGUGGCUGGUUUAUGACUGUGUUGAUUAAGCGAGAACGGGCCCUUCGUUUAUUAUUGAAAUGUGUUUAACGUUGUAAAACAUGUUUCAUGACGUUUGAUUAGACGCGGCCUAGUGAUUUCUUAUGUGUUUAUUUAUUAAACUUUAUGCACAAAAGUACAGUGGAACUAAAUGCCUAAGACAUAGAGAAUACCAGGCAACCAAGGGUGAUGUAGUCUUGUGGUAGACGCAUUCCUUUUUUUUAGUGAAAUCAAUAAAAAUAUAAUAAUGAUAAUGUAGUAUUAAAUACAAAUACAAGCGUACACACAGUAUAGAUAAAUACACAUAAUACGAGUAUACAACGCCGUACAUAUUAUAAUAUCAUAAUAAAGAUUUAUGUAAUAAUUAAUGUAAUAUUUUAAGCUAUUGCAUAGCUUUUAUCGUGGGCUUUGAGCGCCGAAUCAAGAAAUUCCGUAACGAAAAUAAAACCUAACACCCCCACUACGCCUACCAGCUCGCGUUCAACACAUUCACACGUUGCGUUUGUAUAGUGUUUGUGAAUAAGCGCGGCGUGACGUCGCACUGCAUGCGCAUCAUGAAAAUUCUGCCCAUCUCUCUCUCUCGCGCGGUCUAGCUUAUGAGUGUGAAGGGGACAGUUUAUGUUUUGCUUUUGUUAAUGUUUAUAAAUAUAGCGUGGUCUUAUUUUAUUAUUUUUUAAUAUUAAAUUAUUAUUGUCUAAUUAUGAUUGCAUAAGUUGAUAAAAAAUACAAUAACUUUACCGCGGCAGUCCCCGAGUACCACACGUGUUUUUUUUUUUAUACUAGAGGUCCCGCAGUAGUCAAAAUUCGACUAUAAUUAAUUGGAAUUGUAAGUUUGUACGCUAUUAUGAUUGUAUUUUAUACUUCUGUAAUCACAAAUUUCGCCAAGGCUACACUAUAAAAAAUAUUAAUAAAGACAAACAAUAUUUAAUCUAUUCUCAAUUUGACAACAGACGACAAGAACAAAAGUUUGACAAUAAAUAGUAUGCAUGCGUGUGUGCGUCAAAUACAUGGUAUGUAGUGUGUGUAAUGUUUUCUUUAUUGAUUUAAUGUAUCUUUUAUGCACUAUUUUAAAAAAAUAUUAGCAUUGUGCACUUCUUCUCUAUAUUCUCUAUGAGUGUGGAAAAUUUCAUACUCCUCCGUCCGCGCAAUUUUCGUAAAAAGGGAUACAAAGUUUUUGCUUCACGUAUUAAUAUAUAGAUAUUUACGAUGAUAGAUGCAGCGUGGUCAUGUUAAAAGCUUGCACGGGUACUACGAUACUGGAUAUUUUUAGUGCAAAGCAGUAAUUGAUUCUCCGGACUAAAGGUUAGGACAGCCAGUAAAAAAAGGAAUUACAGGCAGACAAUUGAGUGUUCGAUCUGAUGUCUCAAGAUCAUUCCAGUUGUGAAGAUUAUGGGCUUCAGUGACCACGUUACACCAAGAUCGCCGUAAGCACGUUAACUUCAUUUAAAAAGUUACGUAAUUAAAAAGAAGCCCUGCCGAAACAAUUUUUGAAAAAAUCAUAGAUCGUCUUUCUAGAAAAAACCUUUCAAAAAUGUCAUUAUGUCUUUGAUUAAAAAUGCUUUUUUGGUAUAUAUAAUUAUGUAUCAUUAAAGUACCACGCCUUUGUAAGUUUAAUAUUUAUUAACAAAAACAACGCAUGCUUAUCCAAUUCAAAAGCCAUUCAAAUAAUUAAAGUCGCAAUACACGCGCUGAAAAUAGAAUGAGCUUUCUUUUCACAUAUUAAAAUACAAAUUCGGUUGACACAGCCUUUCGUGUUUAUCAGGGGCUCCGCAAAACCAAUUUAUACUUUACGUGAGUUAGACAACGUUCCGAUACGUUGACACAGUACAAUGGCGGCCCCUUUUGUCUUUUGAUAUUAGAACCGGGAAAUUGAUGAGCUGUAAACGAUGUUCGAAAAAUAUUUUUAUCAAUACGUCAAUUUAGGACGUCAAGUAUUGAAAUUAGUUUACGAAGAGUUGAUUGAUAUUUGUAAAUUAAAUCUGUUGCCAUGAGUUUCAAAUUGCUGCUUGUAUUUUGAUUCGAAUAUUAAUUUAUUAAUGAGUAGAAGCAUUGGAUAUCGUUGAACACGCCAUCGCUAUGACUCAUAUGUGUGGUUUACAUAUAUAAAAAAUGUAUAAAAAAAACAUUAACAUUAAAAUGAUUUCGUUCUGCUCUCCAAUAAUAAUAACAAAAAAGUUCUUAUUAUAAUUUUUAGAAGCAUCCUUACCAAUCCUAUUUAACUUCAAGGAUUUUUGCAUUUUACAAAGAAACAACAUUAUUGCGGUCAAAUUCACGCUUCCCCGUCAUAAAAUCUUAAUUAGAUGAGAAAAGUUAUCAAAAAAUGGCCAAAACGUGACUUUCUUGAAUAAUUUUGUAUAAAACAAAAGAAGAUAAACUGGGAUUAUGAAAAGCAAUAAGGAUUACUCAUAAAGAGAUUAUAUUUGGAAUUUAAAAUAAAAUUAACUAUCGUGCUAGAUUUUAUUGAUUCAAUGUUGACAAUUUCUUCAUCACGUUCUUUCAAAAACUCUGCGAAUUUAAAUCUUUUUAUGCACAAUAUAAUAUAUGAAUGUGAUAAAUGACUUAGUUCGUAUAUUACACGUCCUAAAUCACUUAUACGAUUGAAUUGAAACUCUAUUCCGCUCUGGGUAGAACAUUUCAUAUAAAUUUUUUAUCAUAAGAUUGUAGCUAUCUUAUAUUAUACUAGUUCUGAACUAGAAUCCUUGGUCGAACAAAAUGGUCUGCUCAGUAGAAGAUCCACUCUUUAUCAGUUCAAUAUCCAUAAUAACAUCAACAUACAGUAGACGCGCCAUUAGUUCUAAUAAAGUGUAUUUAAUGUUAUAUUUCGCGAGUCACGAGACGAAAUCUGAGUCGGAUCACUACAUGAUAUGCAAUAGGACUUCUUUGAAUACUUCGUGUUCAACCUUUGUACCUGUCUAAGAGAUUUGAGGAUAAUUCGUUUGAGAUUAUUCCAAAUCAUUAUAGUCUUCAUUGAACCAUACUUGAUCAUCCCGAUAUUUUAACAUCAAAGUCAAUACCUUUAUUAAAUAAUUUACCAUACGUUUUUAAUGUGAUCUGUUUUUUCUCGUCUAUAUCUGUUUCCGGAGACAUAGAGGAAUUCAUGACUUGGAACCAUUUAAUACAGAAAUUUUUAAUAUUUCAAUUCAUAAUUAUAUGCCUGGAUUUGCAUCUUAAAAUUCCAAAUCAUCAGACCCGUACAAAAAACACCUAAUGUACGAUGUGUAUGAGUAGGAUUCAAUUUAUCAUAGUUUGUUCGCAAACUGCCAACAUUCUGCACCGAACUGUCACCGCCAACGAAAUCCGCGAUUAGUUUACUUGUCACCAAAAUGGAAUCCAUUUUGUGUGAAUACAUUUUGAUUACCGAAAUACUAGAAAUUUCCAUUCGAAUUCCAAAUGAAUAGGUGAUAUAACCAGUGGAUGUUUAAUAUUGGACAUAGUGAAUACAUAUUUGUAGAACGUAUGAAGUAAAGUACAAUAAUAAAUUUUAAAGUAAAUACAUAAUUACACACAAUAAAAGGAUGACAUUUAAGAGUAACAACGGCUAGCCCAGAGAACAAUACGGAAGAGAUUUCAUUCACAUGAGCUAAUUUUUCUUUUGUUCAUUAGAGGGUUAGGGUUUUCUUUACUUCUUAUUUGCAUAAUUUCGACUGAAUGCAAAAGUACAUUACAUAAAUUUACAAGAAAAAUUAAAAAGGGAAUUGAAGAAUAUAUUUUUUGUUACUUUCUUUAUUCAUGUGUUAAACUAUAAAAUUAAACAAUGGUAUUCGUAA